CGCGCAGGCGGUGAUUUAAGCAGGAUGUGAAAGGCUACGGCUCAACCGUAGGCAUGCACCCUGAACUGGGUCACUUGAGUAUUGGAGAGGCAGGCAGAAUUCCUGGUGUAGCGGUGAAAUGCGUAGAUAUCAGGAGGAAUACCGGAGGCGAAGGCGGCCUGCUGGACAAAUACUGACGCUGAGGCGCGAAGCGUGGGAGCAAACA
rnacentral:rRNA from 1 species